rnacentral:snRNA from 1 species
GAGAAGAGUAAAACUAAU